GGGAGAGAGAGGUAAGUUUAAAUGUGGAUGAACAAAUAUUAUGUGGAUGUAGGGAUUAAAGUGGACCAAAUAUUAUUUAAUUUUAAUAAAUAAUUAAUUAAAUCAUUUACUCUUUAAUUUAGGCAAAUUACUUUAUUUAAAACCCUAUUACCUCUUCCAUCACAACCACAAAACCGUAUCCCUCCUGCCCCAGACGACCUCUCAUCACAUUCAUCAUCGUCCCUUAUAUAAUCUCGCCACUGCCGCUUCUUCCUUCUCCUUCUUCAACAUCAGACAUCGCCAUUCUACGCAAGAAUGUUCACAAUUGUCUUCGUAGGCUCCUCUGAAACAAUCGUUCAUAUCGUCUUCAUCAUCUUCACACACCACUGUGUGUCGCUAGUAUAGAGAGAAAGGAGGACCGAAGUCUCCAAGUAUGCUCGAUCAAUGGAAUUGUUGUUGUCGGAAUUUAUAUCCACCACCGUGUCCGCUACCAACAACAACGAUAACAACACACACCACCAACAAUCGUGUUUCUAUCUAAACCUAAUUAUCUUUCUCUCUUUUUUCUCUAAAAUCUCUGUCUGUCAACGACCAUCACGACCUCCUAGAAUCAAUCCAAUCCAAUUUAUGUAAGUUUUUCUAAUCUAAUCCAGUUUUCUAAUCUAAGUUGAUGGUUAAAUCCAGAGCAAGUGUGUAUCUGGUUUAUGUCCUCUUGUGUGGGCUUUAGGAAUAGUGUCAAGUUUUGAAAAUGUGGUUUCUAAUUUUGACUGAUAGCUAGCUUUCGGUGGCCUAGAAUUACAGAACAAGAGCUGCAGCAGAUAUCUGGAGAUUCAAAUGCUACAGUUGUUCCACUAUUUGAGAAGCUUCUGAGUGUCACUGAUGUUGGUUGAAUUGGUUUUUUGGUUCUCCUAACAGCAUGUGCCGAAGUAAGUAAUAUUGUAUAUUUAUGAGAAAGACAAUUAUGCCAUUUGAAUUAGAGAUGUACGUGGUGCGAUUUGGUACGAUUUUAAGUAAAAACCAUAAACUGCACCGCAUAUGCGGUUUGAGUAUUUUGGAAACCGCAAACCGCACCGCCAAAGUUGUAAACCGCAUAAUGCGGUGCGGUUUGGUGCGGGUGGUUGGUGCGGUUUGUGCAGUUUGAAGAGUUAGUCAACUUUAUAACUUUUUAUUGUUAUUAUUUAAGUCCUUUCAAAUCGUAUUGAAGAUAUAGUACAUUAUAAACUAUCUAUUGCCGAAUAACUUCGAAUAUUAUAACUUAUGUAAGAUAAAAUACUAUGGGUUUUUUUUUUUAUCAAAGUUGUAUCUGUCUUUUGAUCUAAAUGAUGCCACAUUUAUCGAAA